rnacentral:rRNA from 1 species
UACGGGGGGGGCAAGCGUUGUUCGGAAUUACUGGGCGUAAAGGGCUCGUAGGCGGCCAACUAAGUCAGACGUGAAAUCCCUCGGCUUAACUGGGGAACUGCGUCCGAUACUGGAUGGCUUGGAUUUGGGAGAGGGAUGCGGAAUUCCAGGUGUAGCGGUGAAAUGCGUAGAUAUCUGGAGGAACACCGGUGGCGAAGGCGGCAUCCUGGACCAAUAUUGACGCUGAGGAGCGAAAGCCAGGGGAGCAAACGGG